GCGCAAAUUACCCAAUCCUGACACAGGGACGUAGUGACAAGAAAUAACAAUACGGGACUUAUGUUUUGCAUUGGAAWGGAGGGAAUUUWCACC
rnacentral:rRNA from 1 species